rnacentral:rRNA from 1 species
UGCAGUCGACGGAGAAUUCAAUAAGCUUGCUUAGAGAAUUCUUAGUGGCGGACGGGUGAGUAACGCGUGGGUAACCUACCCAUAAAGCCGGGACAACCCUUGGAAACGAGGGCUAAUACCGGAUAAUCUUAAGCUUUGGCAUCAAAGUAUAAGGAAAGGUGGCCUCUGAGUAUGCUACCGAUUAUGGAUGGACCCGCGUCUGAUUAGCUAGUUGGUGGGGUAAAGGCCUACCAAGGCGACGAUCAGUAGCCGGCCUGAGAGGGUGAACGGCCACACUGGGACUGAGACACGGCCCAGACUCCUACGGGAGGCAGCAGUGGGGAAUCUUCCGCAAUGGACGAAAGUCUGACGGAGCAACGCCGCGUGUAUGAUGAAGGUCUUCGGAUUGUAAAGUACUGUCUUUGGGGAAGAAUGACUGGUUUGAAAAUAUUGAGCCAGUAUGACGGUACCCAAGGAGGAAGCCCCGGCUAACUACGUGCCAGCAGCCGCGGUAAUACGUAGGGGGCAAGCGUUGUCCGGAAUUAUUGGGCGUAAAGGGCGCGUAGGCGGAUGUUUAAGUCCGGUGUGAAAGAUCAGGGCUCAACCCUGAGAGUGCAUCGGAAACUGGGCAUCUUGAGGACAGGAGAGGAAAGUGGA